AGAAGCUCCCCGACACGAGAUUCAACUAACCUAGCUUUUUGCUACAAUAAACGGGGAGAAGAAACAGCAUCCUCUCCCCGACAAAAAACAUAGAAUUCCAGAAAUCUACGAAAUCUAUGAAUAUGGUUCGUCAUCUUCAAGGUGUUCAUCACCAUUUUCCAGAAAUUCAUUGUGUUCUUCAUUUUCCCAGAAAUGAAGAGCCUUUUAUUCAUCAAAAUCAAGGCACACAACGGCGUUUGUAGGGGUUCAAACACCACCAGACGCCAAAUGCGUUGAAUAAUGGGCUUUGCAAAACAGAAAGCCACCAACAAAUGGUGAUGGUGGGUGAAUCAAAACCCAUAGCAUGCCAAUUCAAAACCCAAAACAACAUGAACAAAAUGGGUAUACAAGUAAACAACGAAAUCAAUGCUAAACAUAAACAUGCUUCAAAACAAAGCCAAAACAAAGACAGUUGAAGAAAUUACCUUAAGCAAAGCAAAGAUUGAAGCCUCAAGUAAAGGAAAGAAGCGCAAAAGCCUUGGAGUUUUCUGAACUUUCAACUGAGAAAUGCAGUAGCAGCAGCAACGUAUGAGAGAGGGAGAGAAAAGUCCAAAUGAAUCUCCCCUCUCCUAUUUAUAGACCCUUUGAGGCCCNNN
rnacentral:lncRNA from 1 species